rnacentral:tRNA from 1 species
GCCCGUUUGAUCCUCGGUGGUCCGGGGCGCAGGCUUCAAACCUGUGGCCGUCGUGAGACGGAGUGGUUCGAUUCCACCUGAUGGGC